GAUGAACGCUGGCGGCGUGCCUAAUACAUGCGAGUCGAGCGAGCGGACGAGAAGCUUGCUUCUCUGAUGUUAGCGGCGGACGGGUGAGUAACACGUGGAUAACCUACCUAUAAGACUGGGAUAACUUCGGGAAACCGGAGCUAAUACCGGAUAAUAUUUUGAACCGCAUGGUUCAAAAGUGAAAGACGGUCUUGCUGUCACUUAUAGAUGGAUCCGCGCUGCAUUAGCUAGUUGGUAAGGUAACGGCUUACCAAGGCAACGAUGCAUAGCCGACCUGAGAGGGUGAUCGGCCACACUGGAACUGAGACACGGUCCAGACUCCUACGGGAGGCAGCAGUAGGGAAUCUUCCGCAAUGGGCGAAAGCCUGACGGAGCAACGCCGCGUGAGUGAUGAAGGUCUUCGGAUCGUAAAACUCUGUUAUUAGGGAAGAACAUAUGUGUAAGUAACUGUGCACAUCUUGACGGUACCUAAUCAGAAAGCCACGGCUAACUACGUG
rnacentral:rRNA from 1 species